rnacentral:SRP_RNA from 1 species
GCCAGGCGCCGUGGCGGGCUCCUGUAAUCCCAGCUACUCGGAGGCUGAGGCAGGAGAAUCGCUUGAACCCGGGAGGCGGAGGUUGCAGUGAGCCGAGAUCACACCACUGCACUCCAACCUGGGCUACAGAGGGAGACUCUGUCUCAA